ensembl:lncRNA
CACACAUGCAGACACACACACAUGCAGACACACACACAUGCAGACACACACACAUGCAGACACACACACAUGCAGACACACACACAUGCAGACACACACACAUGCAGACACACACACAUGCAGACACACACACACACAUGCAGACAGACACACACACAUACAGACAGACACACACAUACAGACACACACACCCCUCCGGGAUUGGGGGUUCGAAUUCUGCCUCCGCCCUGUGUGUGUGUGUGUGUGUGUGUGUUUGUGCCCAUGAUGAGUUGGCACCCUGUCCAGGUUGUUCCCUAUCUCGUGCCCCUGUGUGGAUAAGUGGUACAUUAAAUGGAUGGAUGGAUGAGUAGCUAAGAAAGGGAAGGGGAUGCGUGCGCUGAAGUAAAUCAGCUCGUGUGUUGUUGCGGCAGUGUGUUAUUUUGCUCUCGGUGUGUACGCGCGUGUGUGAGAAAUGUGGGAUUUGGGGAAUACACAGCAACUGGACAUCAAUGGCUGGGUCAGAACCAGUAGAGGAUAUAGAAUCCAUGGGGAGGUAGGAGAGUGUGUGUGUGUGUGUGGGGACUGGUGUACAGAAUGAUGGAUCACUAAGAUCCGCUGCUGAAUAGCACCGACAUGCUGUGUGCACCCAAACACACACUCGGGGACGUUUAAACUAAAUUAGGUCCUCAACGUCCAGCUUGCACGCAUUAAACGCCCGUAACGUUGUAAUUGAAAUUGAACCACUAAAAGCUUAUUCGCUCUAUACGGCCUUGAUGUAUCGAACAUAAAACCCAUAAUUAAAUAUAAUUACGACACACACACACACACACAAUGCCGAGACUUUACGGGCAUCACCGCCACACAGAAAUGUUCCAGCCGUUUAAAUUAGCACAGCGUGUGUGUGAGAGAGAGAGAGAGAGAGAGAGAGAGAGAGAGA